UAAGACCAGGCUAGUGUCCCAGAGUCUGGUAGGACAAGGCUAGCGUACCGGAGUCGGGUAGAACCAAGCUAGUGUACCAGAGUCUGGUAGGACCAGGCUAGCGUACCAGAGUCGGGUAGGACCAGGCUAGUGUUCCAGAGUCUGGUAGGACCAGGUUAGUGUACCUGAGUCUGGUAGGACCAGGUUAGUGUACCAGAGUCUGGUAGGACCAGGUUAGUGUACCAGAGUCUGGUAGGAACAGGCUAGUGUCCCAGAGUCUGGUAGGACAAGGCUAGUGUACCAGAGUCAGGUAGGACCAAGCUACCAAACUUG